rnacentral:rRNA from 1 species
UGGGGAAUAUUGCACAAUGGGCGCAAGCCUGAUGCAGCCAUGCCGCGUGUGUGAAGAAGGCCUUCGGUUGUAAAGCACUUUCAGCGAGGAGGAAGGUGGUGGACUUAAUACGUUCAUCAAUUGACGUUACUCGCAGAAGAAGCACCGGCUAACUCCGUGCCAGCAGCCGCGGUAAUACGGAGGGUGCAAGCGUUAAUCGGAAUUACUGGGCGUAAAGCGCACGCAGGCGGUUUGUUAAGUCAGAUGUGAAAUCCCCGGGCUCAACCUGGGAACUGCAUUUGAAACUGGCAAGCUAGAGUCUCGUAGAGGGGGGUAGAAUUCCAGGUGUAGCGGUGAAAUGCGUAGAGAUCUGGAGGAAUACCGGUGGCGAAGGCGGCCCCCUGGACGAAGACUGACGCUCAGGUGCGAAAGCGUGGGGAGCAAACAGAUUAGAUACCCUGGUAGUCCACGCUGUAAAACGAUGUCGAUUUUGGAGGUUGUGCCCCUGAGGCGUGGNUCCCCGGAGCUAACGGUUAAAUCGACCG